UACGUAGGGGGCAAGCGUUGUCCGGAUUUAUUGGGCGUAAAGAGCGUGUAGGCGGCCAGGUAGGUCUGCUGUGAAAACUCGAGGCUCAACCUCGAGAUGUCGGCGGAAACCAUCUGGCUAGAGUCCGGAAGAGGAGAGUGGAAUUCCUGGUGUAGCGGUGAAAUGCGCAGAUAUCAGGAAGAACACCCGUGGCGAAGGCGGUUCUCUGGGACGGUACUGACGCUGAGACGCGAAAGCGUGGGGAGCGAACAGG
rnacentral:rRNA from 1 species